CCUAAGAGGGAGGGAGGGGAGCUGAACUAAACCCAGGGGCCUGAGACCUGGACAGCCCUCUGCAGUGUGCUGAAAGGGAAUCUAGAGACAAUACUAUUGCUAAUAGUGAGAGAAGUGAAUUUGAAAAUAAAUUGUGUCUACCAUCUCUACUGACCUGAAUGGCUAUUCUUUGUUCAGAAAAACAAAAUGGGAGCAUCUGGAUGACUCAGUGGAUCAAGAGCCAGGACUAGAGGCUAAGAAGUCCUAGGUACAAAUCUGACCUCAGAUACUUCCUAGCUGUGUGAUUCUGGAGGAAACUGAGAAGAGCCCUGUGAACUAAUCAGAGAGAAGUGAGAAGAACAAGACCUUAUAAAAUGAUAACAUCUUUUUGAAGCAAGGCUGAAAAACUUUAGAACUCCAAGCAAAGCAAUGGUAAACCAUGAGUCCAAAAGAAUGGACCAGAAAACGCAUCAUCCCAGAGACUGUAAGACUGAUCUUGGACUUCUUGGCCCUUCAGUAGCCUCUGACCCUGUGAAUGGAUGGCUGAAAAGAGGAGAAAAAUAUCCUUCCCAAAUUUUCAAAUAAAGAAGGUCCAGAAGCCCAGCCAAUUCUUCAUUUCCUAUCAACUUCUCUUCCUUAGAUUUGAUUCCACUAUCAUCAUUCCCCUGAUCCCUGGUACCUUCUCCAUCCCUCUUCUCCACCCUGUCUUUUAGCUUCCUUUUAUGUCUUGUCUUCCCCCUUUGGACUCUGAGCUCCUUGAGGGCAGUGACUUUCUUUUUCUUAUGUGUUUCUCCAGAUUUUAGAACAGAGACUAAAACAGAGUAGAUAAUACAUAAUAUAUAAUAAUAUUUUAUUGUGUGAUGACAUACUACUUACCUGAUUGAGAGGUGAUGAAUUUAAAUUAAAAUACAGUGUUGGUCAGCCAACUAGCAAUUGUUAAACACCUACUAUGUGUUAGGCAUGAUGCCAAAUAAUAUGCCAAACAAAUAAAGGCAAAAAGAUUGUCCUUAUUCUCAAGGAGCUCACAGUCUAGUAGAGAAGACAACAUACAAAAGGAAGCUAAAAAGGAUGGUAUAAACAAGAUAUGAAGGAUAAGUUGGGGCAUUUUUAGAAGGAAGGCACUAAGAUUAAAGACUAAAAAGGCUCCUUGCAGAAAGUGGGGCUUUAGCUGAGUCUUGAAGGAAGUCAGGGAAGCUAGGAGGCAGAAAUGAAGAGAGAGAAAAUUCCAUGCAUGAGAGAUGGCCAGAGAAAAAGCUUGGCAUCAUUUUGUGCAAAGAACAGCAAGAGUGUUGCUUGAUUAAAGAGUAUGUGGAGGGGAUGAAAAUCUAAGCCGAGUGGAAAGAUAAACUUGGCAGAAAAAGACAUGUUUUUAAACAGACAAUGUGGGAAUUUGUUUUCCUGAACUAUGAAGCUCUGUAUUUAGGGUUUUAUUUUCUAUUAAAAAAGAAAAAAAUAUAUAUAAUGAAAAAAUUAAAAAAUGAUGAAUUAAAUGCAAAAAUAAAAACAUAGUUAAAACAUUAUCAGUUUUUGUACUAGAUGUCAAAUACUGACUUUUUAAAUGAACUUGUUUAAUAAAAUACAAUAAAAACACACAAAAAGGAAAGAAGAACAGGGGAGAAUGUUCAUCCUAUGUGUAAUAAAAGUCAUAGAAAACCUGCUUUAAACCAAGUAUAAUUUUAUUUAAGGGUCUGAUCUUUCUAUAAAUACCUUUACUUUUAUUUUAAAUUGCUAUCAAGACUUGUUAAAAAAGAAAGCAAAAUAAAGUCCUUUUAACUCUACUUUCUAUGAAGUUCACUCAUAAAUAUGAAGAAACCAAUUUAAAACAUAAUGGAGGAGGCAGCCAGGUGGCUGAUAAAGAGCCAGGCCUGGAGACAGGAGGUCUUGGAUUCAAAUUUGAACUCAUAUACUUCCUAGGCGAAGGGAGUGGAGCCUCUGUGACCUUCCUCAGUACCGUCAGCAUUCGGGACUGGAUUUUACAGCCAGCUCAGCAUCAAAAAUACCUCAAGAAACAAUGGAGUAACCUUUUGGAUCUAUGACAUUGGAACUUAGAUGAAGAUUCAUUAAGUAGUCAUGAUGUAUCAGGAUGUGAAUUUCAUGUUACCAAAGCCAUGAAGGAACUGAAUUAAGUUUUGAGUCAAUUCUCCCAAGGGUGUGAUGGGGAAAAUAUUUGUACAUUUGUUUUUGUUAUAUCUUGCCUACAAAGGCAAUAGUGGGGAAGAUAGGCAUUUUGGUCAGAAGAGUCAGGUCAAAUGUCUUGUGCCAAGUGCUCCUUGAGAUUAGGGACAAAUUUGUUUUUUGCUUUUGCAUCUCUAGCACUUAAAACAUGUAAAAAUGGACUGGAAUCCAGGACUUCAAUCCCCAUAAGCCCUUGCUCCACUUCCCCAAAAUGCUUUGUAAUCUCACGCAAUUCUGAGGUGGGCCGAGAUCGAGGAAGGAUUUAAGCUGAUUGUAAAGGCUUUUGUGGUUUCUUUUGGACUUCCGUUUUGGAGCAGAGGCGUCUCUUCCAUGAUGUGAGAUUAUCUUGUCUAGGCCACUCUGGCCUAGGCAUGUGUUUCUUAUCCUGUAUUUUCUUUAAUCCUGAAUCUCUAAUAAACCUCUAAAAAAUAUAAUACUCCUUGCAGAGAGAAACUAAUUUCUACCUGCCUCAGUUGCCUCAGUCUCCCCUAAAUUUUAAUCUUUACAAACAGUGACUAUCACAUAGUAGGCAUUUAGUAAAUUAGUCAUUUCUCCAUUUGCCAUUACCCAAAUUGAAAUUUUAUUAUUGUAUGAUUUUGAAGAACAUAUGUUAUCUUUGGAUUGCCAUUUCCCAGCUAUAGAUUCUAGCUCUAUGUAUUGUUAACUUGGAAAUAACACAGAACUACCUAAGUAGUCAGAAAAACCAAGUCUUUAAUAAGAAAGGAAUAAAUCCCA